rnacentral:lncRNA from 1 species
AUGAGCAGGAUGAACACAAACAAACUCCGCUGUCUUUGAGAAGAAUGAAAACAACAGCGGCAGCGAAUGUCACCAGGAUAUACAGAUAACUCUUCUCAGCACCUCAGACUCUCCAAUCUCUGCGUUUGCGACAGGUUUCCGUGAAGCUCUCCGACCUUCAGUCCCAUCAGCCCCAGCAGGAUGUGCAUGCGAUGAGCCUGUUUCUUAGUCUGCGUAAAGAGCAUCACGUGAUCCUGGAAGGUUCUGG